rnacentral:rRNA from 1 species
AUUGAACGCUGGCGGCAGGCCUAACACAUGCAAGUCGAGCGGAUGAAGAGAGCUUGCUCUCUGAUUUAGCGGCGGACGGGUGAGUAAUGCCUAGGAAUCUGCCUGGUAGCGGGGGAUAACGUCCGGAAACGGGCGCUAAUACCGCAUACGUCCUACGAGAGAAAGCAGGGGACCUUCGGGCCUUGCGCUAUCAGAUGAGCCUAGGUCGGAUUAGCUAGUUGGUGAGGUAAUGGCUCACCAAGGCUACGAUCCGUAACUGGUCUGAGAGGAUGAUCAGUCACACUGGAACUGAGACACGGUCCAGACUCCUACGGGAGGCAGCAGUGGGGAAUAUUGGACAAUGGGCGAAAGCCUGAUCCAGCCAUGCCGCGUGUGUGAAGAAGGUCUUCGGAUUGUAAAGCACUUUAAGUUGGGAGGAAGGGCAGUAAGUUAAUACCUUGCUGUUUUGACGUUACCGACAGAAUAAGCACCGGCUAACUUCGUGCCAGCCGCCGCCGUAAGAC